AGCGAAACAAGCGAUGUGGAGCAAANCCCUAAAAACGGUACUCAGUUCAGAUUGUAGGCUGCAACUCGCCUACAUGAAGUCGGAAUUGCUAGUAAUCGCGGAUCAGCAUGCCGCGGUGAAUACGUUCCCGGGCCUUGUACACACCGCCCGUCACACCAUGAGAGUUGGCAACACCCGAAGUCGGUAGUCUAACCGCAAGGAGGACGCCGCCGAAGGUGGGGUUGAUGAUUAGGGUUAAGUCGUAACAAGGUAGC
rnacentral:rRNA from 1 species